GGACCGAGCUAGGCGAUCGCUCUUUGAGCAAUCAGAGGGAGGAAAGUCCGAACAUGCGCCGAUUUAUCGGCAAAUAGGUAGCGGGUAACGCCCGUCGUCCGUGAGGAUAGAGGUGACCACAGAAACGUCCCGAACGAAAGUGAAGGAAUUCCCUCGUGGAAUAGGCCCGUCGCGAGAUGGGAAUGCAACGAACAAAUCCUUACCCGCAUGCAAGGCCGUGCCCCACGGAGCUUUACGCGAAGUGGGGAGUGCCGCUCGAUCCCGAGCGUAAGCGAGGGACAAGAUAAAUGAUCGCUCACGACAGAAUUCGGCUUAUCGGCUCGGUCUACAA
rnacentral:RNase_P_RNA from 2 species